rnacentral:rRNA from 1 species
GACAGAGGGUGCGAACGUUGUUCGGAAUUACUGGGCGUAAAGCGCGUGUAGGCGGCUCGAUAAGUCGGAUGUGAAAGCCCUGGGCUCAACCUAGGAAGUGCAUUCGAAACUGCUGAGCUUGAGUUCUGGAGAGGAAGGCGGAAUUCUCGGUGUAGAGGUGAAAUUCGUAGAUAUCGAGAGGAACACCGGUGGCGAAGGCGGCCUUCUGGACAGCAACUGACGCUGAGACGCGAAAGCGUGGGGAGCAAACAGG